AAACUUUCAACAACGGAUCUCUUGGUUCUGGCAUCGAUGAAGAACGCAGCGAAAUGCGAUAAGUAAUGUGAAUUGCAGAAUUCAGUGAAUCAUCGAAUCUUUGAACGCACAUUGCGCCCCUUGGUAUUCCGAGGGGCAUGCCUGUUCGAGCGUCGUUU
rnacentral:rRNA from 1 species